GGAGUCGGCUCGGCAGUCGCUGCCCUUAGGGGUGGAGGAAAGUCCGGGCUCCGCAGGGCAGAGCGCCAGGUAACGCCUGGGAAGUGCGAGCUUACGGAAAGUGCAGCAGAGAGUAGACCGCCUAAGCGCGCAAGCGCCGGUAAGGGUGAAAGGGUGCGGUAAGAGCGCACCGCGCGGCUGGUAACAGUCCGUGGCAAGGUAAACCCCGCUCGGAGCAAGACCAAAUAGGAAUCCAUUGGUGUGGCCCGCACUGGAUUCGGGUAGGUCGCAAGAGGUGUGUGGCGACACACAUCCCAGAUGAAUGACUGUCCCAGACAGAACCCGGCUUACAGGCCGACUCCGAAU
rnacentral:RNase_P_RNA from 1 species